rnacentral:rRNA from 1 species
UCUGUAGGCGGAGGGGUAAGUUUGACGUGAAAGCUCCGGGCUCAACCCGGAGAGGCCGUUGAAUACUGCCCAACUAGAGUCCAUCAGAGGGGCGUGGAAUUUCCGGUGUAGCGGUAAAAUGCGCAGAUAUCGGAAGGAACACCAAUGGCGAAGGCAGCGCCCUGGGAUGGGACUGACGCUAAGAGACGACAGCUAGGGUAGCGAACAGGAUUAGAUACCCUGGUAGUCC